rnacentral:rRNA from 1 species
GACGAACGCUGGCGGCGUGCCUAAUACAUGCAAGUUGAGCGCUGAAGGUUGGUACUUGUACCGACUGGAUGAGCAGCGAACGGGUGAGUAACGCGUGGGGAAUCUGCCUUUGAGCGGGGGACAACAUUUGGAAACGAAUGCUAAUACCGCAUAAAAACUUUAAACACAAGUUUUAAGUUUGAAGGAUGCAAUUGCAUCACUCAAAGAUGAUCCCGCGUUGUAUUAGCUAGUUGGUGAGGUAAAGGCUCACCAAGGCGAUGAUACAUAGCCGACCUGAGAGGGUGAUCGGCCACAGUGGGACUGAGACACGGCCCAAACUCCUACGGGAGGCAGCAGUAGGGAAUCUUCGGCAAUGGACGAAAGUCUGACCGAGCAACGCCGCGUGAGUGAAGAAGGUUUUAGGAUCGUAAAACUCUGUUGGUAGAGAAGAACGUUGGUGAGAGUGGAAAGCUCAUCAAGUGACGGUAACUACCCAGAAAGGGACGGCUAACUACGUG